rnacentral:sRNA from 1 species
GCUGGGUGCGGUGGUGCACACCUGUAAUCCCAGCAGCUCAGGAGGCUGAGGCAGGAGGAUCACAAGUUCAAAGCCAGCCUCAGCAAUGGCGAGGCACUAAGCCACUAGUGAGACCCUGUCUCUA